GGACUACUCGGGUUUCUAAUCCUGUUUGCUCCCCACGCUUUCGCGCCUCAGCGUCAGUUAUAGGCCAGAAAGUCGCCUUCGCCACUGGUGUUCCUCCACAUCUCUACGCAUUUCACCGCUACACGUGGAAUUCCACUUUCCUCUCCUACACUCAAGUCAACCAGUUUUGGAUGCGAACCGGGGUUGAGCCCCGGGCUUAAACACCCAACUUAAUUGACCGCCUGCGCGCGCUUUACGCCCAAUAAUUCCGGACAACGCUUGCCCCCUACGUAUUACCGCGGCUGCUGGCAC
rnacentral:rRNA from 1 species